GGCCCCUCAGGAGGAAGGGGCGGGGAGAUCCCAGCUACUAGAGGACGCCCGUUCCAAUGGCAACUCUGCCAAGGCGCCUAUGAGAGCCUCUUGGCUUUUACCUGGUCUGCGAGAAAUCAAACUUUGGGCACAAGUCAUGAAGCCGACAAGCCCGGGAGACACAGUGUCAGAAUUACAAGGUGAGAUCAGCCGCCCGGCCAAGCUAUCUUCUCGCUAGCAGGAACACUACAAGGCCUGUUAGAGAAGAAAGGGUAGAAUCCCGAGAAUGUUUUCCCCACAGUGCUGAUAAGGAGAGACCACUAUCCCAUCUACUGCUACAGCUCUGGAGACAGAGCUCUCCCACCUGUCAUAUAGAACACAAGGACCAAUCUGCAGAGAAAGAGCAUCCAAACCUGAUCCAGUGGACACUGGGGAAAAACUCACCACAGCUGAGUGUGGAAAAACAAGGCCAACACACACAUCUCUGCACAGAUACAUCUCCCAUAAAGAAACUAAAGUGUUAAUUUACAGGGCACUGUUGCAGACCCACUUCAGCUGGAAGCUAGGAACAUGGACAAGGAGCCUCUCUACCACCAAGGGAGAGAGAGGAAUGUGCUCUUGUCCUGGCAUUGCAUCCACAGGAGGGGCAGGAAAUUCUUUGAAGGUCUCGCAUCUGGGGCUCGAUCUCGUGCAGAGGAGCAUUUCCGAAGACACUGGCCGCUCCCACAAUGGCUCCGAAGAACCCAGCGACCAGCGGGUUCAUGAGUUUGUUGGGGCUGUCCACUCGGUACCAGCUGCGCAGGGAUGUCAGGACAAAGAAACAAGUUGCCUGGUUCCAGCCCUGCUUCAGCACGGGGCCUGUGGGGCCCCGGUAAGUCCCGGUGUUCCCGCACAAUCUCCUAACCCUGUGGAAGAAUCCCCUGUACUUGGAUUUGGAGAGGUCUGGCCAUGGAUUAACUUCACCUUGAUGGUCUCCAUGGGACAUAGGACCACCACGGCCUCGGCCACGCUAGCUCACUGGCCGCACCGCUGCCCGCCUUGCUGUUCACCAGUCCCUGGGCAUCCCGCAUCUGGUUGCUGAGGAACGCCUGACGCCGCCUUGUGGAUGAAGCCGCAGAGCAGGGAGCUGAGGCUGCGGCCCAGGCCCAGGCUGCCUUGGCUGCGACUGUGUGCCUGCAGGCCCCAUGCCCGGUAUCCGGUGGAUGCGAGUGCUAGUCCAGCUGCAGCUGCAUCUUCACGAACUCGGUGGGGAACGGGAUGCAGAUUUUUUUUUUCUUUUCCUUCCUUCCUUCCUUCCUUCCAACUUCCUUCCUUCCUUCCCCUUUCUUUCUUUCUUUUUUUUUUUUUUUUUUUUUUGACAGAAUUUUGCUCUUGUCCCCCAGGCUGGAGUGCAGUGGCGCGAUCUUGGCUCACUACAACCUGGAUUCAAGCGAUUCUCCUGCCUCAGCCUCCCGAGUAGCUGGGAUUACAGGCAUGUGCCACCAUUCCCGGCUAAUUUUUUUGUCUUUUUAGUAGAGACGGUGUUUCCCCAUGUUGGUCAGGCUGGUCUCAAACGCCUGACUCAGAUGAUCCGCCCGCCUCGGCCACCCAAAGUGCUGAGAUUACAGGCUUGAACCACCGCGCCUGGCCCUGUGAUGUAGAUUUUGAUGCUGCCAGCCAGGCUGCCUGCCGGGAUCGCCUGCCCUGGAGCAGGAGCAUCAGCCGUGCGUUCCAGGACGCAGGCAUGGCAUGACCGGCAGGAGGCGGAGUGCCCGGCGUCUCUUGGGAUCGGAGCCUCCUGAAUUCCACGCUGGGACCUUAAUUUGGUUUUAACACAAAUAAAGAUCUCACAUAAAGAUAAAAGGG
ensembl:lncRNA LINC02987 long intergenic non-protein coding RNA 2987